GUGAGUGGCGAACGGGUGAGUAACACGUGGGUAACCUGCCCAGAAGUAGGGGAUAACACCUGGAAACAGAUGCUAAUACCGUAUAACAGAGAAAACCGCAUGGUUUUCUUUUAAAAGAUGGCUCUGCUAUCACUUCUGGAUGGACCCGCGGCGUAUUAGCUAGUUGGUGAGGUAAAGGCUCACCAAGGCAGUGAUAUGUAGCCGACCUGAGAGGGUAAUCGGCCACAUUGGGACUGAGACACGGCCCAGACUCCUACGGGAGGCAGCAGUAGGGAAUCUUCCACAAUGGACGCAAGUCUGAUGGAGCAACGCCGCGUGAGUGAAGAAGGGUUUCGGCUCGUAAAGCUCUGUUGUUAAAGAAGAACGUGGGUAAGAGUAACUGUUUACCCAGUGACGGUAUUUAACCAGAAAGCCACGGCUAACUACGUGCCAGCAGCCGCGGUAAUACGUAGUGGCAAGCGUUA
rnacentral:rRNA from 1 species